ensembl:lncRNA LOC108350369 uncharacterized LOC108350369
GUGGGAUGACAGCCCAUGUGUGAGUUAUCAGUCAAGUCCCCGCAAGCUAACUUCUCCUGUGGUCUGCAGUGUGGGAAACUGGCCAGAGAGAUCCCAGGGUGCGGUUGCAGUAUGGAGGAGAGGAUUUCUGUCGGGUCUGAUGAAUCUGGAGUCAAGCAUUUACCCUGAUAUUGGAAAGUUUCCAAGAGAUCUCGGCUCCGUCGUUGGCAGAACAGACAAAAUAUCCAGCCCAGCUAGAUCCAGUUCUGGAGGAUUCUGAACAACUUCCAAUGACCAGAUCUGUUUGUAGGACUGGAGGAAUAUGGUGGAGAACAUAAUCAGAAUAGAGAGGAAAAUAAGGUGAAGG